rnacentral:lncRNA from 1 species
AACUAUCUCUCUCUUACAGUCUUAAAUCUUAAUUACUCCCUCUCCCUCCUUCUCCUCCUCCUCCUCCUCCUCUCCCUCUCUUAAUUCUCUUAUUCAUGAAGUUGGUUUUGAAGUUAAUUUCAAGCUUUUGUGCAGUUGUUGUGGUGAUAUUGGGAUGGAGAAUUUUCAAUUGGGUUUGGUUGAGACCAAGAAAGCUUGAAAAGUACCUGAGAAAUCAGGGUUUCACUGGAAACUCGUACAGAUUAUAUUUUGGAGACCUGAAAGAUAUGGCUGUGAUGAGAAAAGAAGUCUACUCCAAACCCAUCAAUCUCUCUGAUGAUAUUAUCCCUCGCAUCAUUCCCGACCACUAUAAAACAAUCCAAACCUAUGGUAUGUAGUUAGGACUAAACUGCAUAUCUACAUGUAAACUCUAUCCGACACACAAAAAGAGUAUGUUUUUUGACUUUUUAUAGUAAAUCUUAAACUUAGUUAGGUGCAUGUUACACUGUUAUUGCAGGAAAGAACUCAUUUUUAUGGCUUGGACCAAAACCAAUGGUUCACAUAAUGGAUCCUGAUCAUAUCAAACAGAUCCUGACCAAGUUUUAUCAGUUCCAAAAGCCCAGGGUAGGUAAUCCUUUAACAAAUUUACUUGCAACUGGACUAUCAUAUGCUGAGUGUGACAGAUGGGCCAAACACAGGAAAAUCAUCAACCCUGCUUUCCAUCUUGAGAAAUUGAAGGUCAGCUAUAAUCCAAAUUACUUAUUUUAAUUGUUUCUUCUAAAUAGUUCAACUUUUAAGGUUGAAGAUGGUAUAUAUAUUUAGAUGUGAUGUCAAAGACAUGUAGUUUUAUAAGUUUGAUGUUGAUAUUAUUAUUAGGGUUGUAAAUGAUAACCGAAAAAUUCGUAUUCGUCCGCAUCUGUAUUCGAAAAAAGCGGAUAUUAUUCGUAUUCGAAAAAAACGAAUAUAUCCGUAUUCGGUUUAAUAGUAUCCGCAAAUAAACAAAUACAAAUACGGAUAUAGGCAUAUUCGUAUUCGUUUAACAUUCGACCGUAAAUAUAUCCGGCAGAUAGCGGAUAUCCGGAUUCGGAUCCGUAUCUGGAAUUCGUAUCCAAAUAACUUAUAUAUAUAUAUAUAUAUAUAUAUAUAUAUACUAAUUUUUUAAAGUGGCAUUCCUUAUAUAAUAAUUAGUUUCCACUAUCAUACGCAAAUUAUUUUAAAAAUCUAUCAUUUCACUUCUAAAAAGNNNNNNNNNNNNNNNNNNNNNNNNNNNNNNNNNNNNNNNNNNNNNNNNNNNNNNNNNNNNNNNNNNNNNNNNNNNNNNNNNNNNNNNNNNNNNNNNNNNNAAAAAUUAUAUACUAAAAGAACAAAACUAUAGUUAUUAGCUUGUUAUAAAUUUUUUACUUUCAAAACUUAUUUGCAAUGUUGGGAGGCGGGAACAAUGAACAAUAUAAUUUUAUUAUUAAAAUGUGUUAAGUUCGAAUUAAUCUAGAAGGGGUUGAAUAGUUAAUUUACGUUUAUAAAUUUUCGGGUGGAGAGAGUAUUUAUCACUUUCAUUUGUCCAAUUAUUUAAAAAUUAGAAGUCCAAAUAUUUGAGUAAGUACUAAGUAAAUUUGGAUCAAAUUGGAUUAACUAGUUGUCACAUAUAUAUUAUAACUCACACUCUCCAUAAAUGUAAUGAAAUAAAAUAAACUUUUUAUAACUAUGUAAAUUGUAAUCUAUGUAUUGAGGAUAAAUUAUAAAUAAAAGUUCUCAUAAACAUAUUAAUAAAGUUUUAAUCAAGUAUUUGAGAAAAAAUAAUUAAAUAUUCAAUAUAAACUUUUGAAUCUAAUUAUAAAUAUUCGUACACACUACAAUAUUACUCCACACACAUAAAAUAGACAUAUCUAAAUAUUAAUAAGUAGAUCAUUCAUUUUGAAAUUUAGGAUUUCAAAAUUGAUGAAAACAUAUUUGAAUUGUAAUUUAGAACAUUGAUAUUGUAUUUAAAUAUUUAUUAAAAAUAAAUAAAUUAACAUUCAUUUAUUAAUAAAUUAUAUUUUAAAAUUCAUUAUUUUUUUAUUCUAGUUAUAGGCUGUAAAUGGUAACCGGAAAAUUCGUAUUCGUCCGCAUCCGUAUUCGGGAAAAAGAGGAUAUUAUUCGUAUUCGGAAAAAAACGGAUAUUAUCCGUAUUCGAUUUAAAAGUAUCCGCAAAUAAACGGAUACGGAUACUAUUAUAUCCGAAUCCGUAUAUAUCCGUUUACACCCCUAAUUAUUAUAUUAUACUUUUUGCAUUUUUGAAUUUUUCUCCUUGCAGAAUAUGCUGCCUGCCAUUUAUUUGAGUUCGAGUGAGAUUAUGACCAAAUGGGAAGAGAUGGUUUCUACAAAGGGCCAAAUUGAGUUGGAUGUAUUGCCUUAUUUAGAUACUUUGACAAGUGAUGUUAUUUCGCGUACAGCAUUUGGCAGUAGCUAUAAAGAAGGGAGAAAGAUAUUUCAACUUCAAAAAGAACAAGCUGAGUUAAUAAUUCAAGCUUCACAAACAAUAUACCUCCCUGGAAUGAGGUAAAUAUAUCUCUUGGGAUAGAUUAAGGCAAAAUUAAAUUCUAGUGAUUCCUUAAUAAUUUCCCCAUUUUUACGUUUAUUAAACUUGGUAAUUGUAGAUUUUUUCCAACCAAAAGAAACAAAAGGAUAAAAGAGAUCGCUAAAGAAGUGAAACUUGCACUAAAGAGUAUCAUCAACAAGCGUUUGAAUGCAGUGGACGCUGGAGAAAGUAGUCAAGAUGACUUAUUGGGUAUAUUAUUGGAAUCCAAUUCCAAAGAAAUUAAACAACAUGGUAAUACGAAUUUUGGAAUGACUAUAGGUGAGGUUAUUGAAGAGUGUAAACUAUUUCAUUUUGCGGGACAUGAGUCAACCACAAAUCUGCUUGUGUGGACGAUGAUUUUAUUAAGUCUGUAUCAAGAUUGGCAAAAGCGUGCUAAAGAAGAGGUUUUGCAAGCGUUUGGAAACAACAAACCCGAUUUUGAUAGAUUAAAUCACCUGAAAGUUGUAAGUUUUUUUUUUAUAUACUAUGUUCAAGAAAACAUGUGGACAUACAUUUCGAAUUUCAAUUCUAAUAUCGUAUUUCAUCUUCAUAUUAUUAAAUUUUAAACUAAAAAAAAUCUUAUGUCAUAGAAGUAUGGAAGGUUUACAUAUAUUCCACACUUACUAUAAGUAUUUGCAAACAGUCGCAAAUUACCUUUGUUUGUUGCAGAUUAAAUAAUUAAGUCACUCUUGAACCAAUUUUUUGCAGUGUAAUUAGUCAAAAAAAUAAAAUGUAACAAUUUGCAUAUUAUAUUUUGUUUAACAGGUAAAUAUGAUUUUGCUUGAGGUUCUAAGAUUGUUUGUAUCCACCGCUAGUUUCACUUGGUCGAACUAUAUAUGAAGAAAUAAAAUUGGGAGAAAUAUCUCUUCCUGCUGGAGUGGUUCUUCAAUUACCCAUGAUUUUAUUGCAUUACGACCAAGAAAUAUGGGGUGAUGAUGCAAAGGAAUUCAAUCCGGAAAGAUUUUCUGAAGGUGUGCUAAAGGCAACAAAGGGGAGAGUCGCAUAUUUUCCUUUUAGCUGGGGACCUCGAAUUUGCAUUGGUCAAAAUUUUGCAAUGUUGGAAGCUAAAAUGGCAAUGGCCAUGAUUUUACAAUGAUUUUCGUUUGUACUUUCACCGUCUUAUGCACAUGCUCCCCACACCAUCAUUACUCUUCAACCUCAAUUUGGUGCACACUUAAUUUUACGCUCACUAGUAUAACAGUCUUAAAUGAUAAUGCUUAGGGUCAAUAAAGAUAAACUCCAUGUGGGAUUAUGUUUUGAGGUUCAAAAAUGUCUUACUUUUGUGUUUGUAUUAUCUAUUGUAUAAGAUUUCUGAAGAUUACAUGAAUUACAUCUUUAUAUAUGAAAAUAAUUCUUAUGCAUGCGGUAAAUUUUUAAAUAUUUUUAGGGUUGUAGAUACCCGAAAUUUUGUAUAUUUGUUCUAACCAUGACAGGAGGUCAAAAUGUCAUUUCUGUCGGAGGAUGAGACAUCCACACAGAGGAUUCCGAGGCUCAAAUCAAGGUACACGAAGUUAACACGAAGAGUACAAGGCGAGAAACUAUGCAAGGCAUGAUGGUUGACUGUCUAGCAUCUACGGGAAGUACCAUUUCUACAUUUUCUCCUGUCUUUUCGGAUUUGAAAUUGGCAAAAUUUUAUGUCAUUAUGUUGCUCUCGGAAAUAACUUUUCAAAUGGUAUGACACGCCUUCCAACUAUUCUCGUAUUGAAAGUUAUAGACGUUUUAAAAUACAGCAGGAGAACCGACAUAAUAUCACAAGAAUCGAGACAGGUGGAUCCCACCUGGGCCAAUCGCACUAAUAUACUUGUGGCCAAAGCCCGGGCUCUAUAUAAGGGCAAUUUCAACUCAUUUUUGAAAAAAAAAAUGGAGUUCUAAAAGGAGGAAAAACUGAUUUUAGUGUGAGAAAUAGGCGAUUUUGAGUGAAUUUUUCAUAAAUCUCAUUUAGAUCUAGCUACUUGUAUAUAAAUCAAUCAUAUAUUAAGUGAGAUCUCAUAGUUUCAAGGCUUAAAGAGCUUGUUCCUUCAUUUUAUAGGUGAGAGAUUCAAUCUUUAUUGUAGAUUCGAUGUAAGAUGCAAUAACCGUGUUUUCACAGAAGUCGGGGGUGCCUAACACCUUCUCCCUCACUUAAGCAAGCCUCCGAACUCUAUAAAUCUCGAUUUUGAGAUCAAUUUUACGGAGUCAUAUUUUGGGCCAUGUUGCGGAAACUUUUAAAAUUCGGAUGAUUUGAUACAUCCAUUUAAAUUCAUACUAACUGACGACUCUAUCUAAUUGGCCCAUCAUUAAAUCAACCUUCUAAACUUCGUAAACAUUUAUGGCGAUUUUAUUUUCCUAAGAUUUUACCCUUCAAAUGAAACAAGGUAAUCAAUAGAAAUGAUCAUAAGGGUAGAAAUAUGAAAACUUAGGAAAAUCUCUCCCCCCACCCCCACCCCCACCCCCACCCCCACCCCAAUGUCGAUAGAUUUGGCGAUUCCAGUGGAGACAGUAGGUAAUUUAAGUCGCGUUUCGUUUUAUUAUUUUUCUUGGUUGCUUAUAUUGUGUGUGUAACAUCCCAGUCUCACAUCGAAAAAUAUGUGAAAUUUUUGUUUGUGUAUAAAUAAUUAAGUUACUACCAAUAGUACCUUUAGUCAUGACCUUUUGGGUGAGGUUGUGGGGGGCUAAGAUGACCCAACCAGUGGUUUAAGACCUUAUUUAGAUGGAUUUGUUUCGAUUCGAACUUGGGAUUUGACCCAAGAUUUGUUUUGAACUCGGGAUUUGACCCGGGUUGUUUCAUAUGGUAUCAAAGUCGACUCUCGAAAGCUCUCUGAUGGGGGGAGUUUGUAACACCCCAGUCCCACAUCGAAAGAUAUGAGAAUUUUUUUUUCUGUGUAUAAAGAAUUAAGUUACUACCGAUAAUACCUUCAGUCAUGAUCUUUUGGGUGAGCUUGUGGUGGGCUAAGAUGACCUAAAAAGAUAUUAUUGAGCAGUGAUUUAAGACCUUAUUUGAAUGAAUUUGAUUUGACUCUCAUUUAGGCCAAAAAGUUGUUAAUAGUUUACUAACUCGUCAGGGCGAUAAUGCCAUUUUUCUUUGGGCUUGUAUUGUGUGGGAUUCUAUAUUCAAUCGUAUACAUUACAACUCACAAUAUAUCAUGUUAUACGCGACGAAGAGUUUUAGAGUACUAUAUAUUUUGUCAAAUAUGAAAUACUCUCUCCAUUCCAUUAUAUCUGACGUUUUAGAGGGUUUUUUUUUUUCAAAAUAUUUGACGUUCUACAAAACCAAGAAUAUUUUGCCUAUUUGUUUCCUUUUCUACCCUUCCUUCUCCACCACCAUUAAUGACUAUUUUUUCUAUUUUUAAAAAACAGUUCAAAUUCUAUUCUUUAAUUAUGAGAGAAAAUUAGGAGAGAGUGUGAAAUCAAGUUUGGUGUUAAUGGAAAAUUAAAUGAGAUCAAAGUAUUAAUUAAAGGUAAAAUAGUAAAAUUAUAUUUAUUUUUAAUCUAUGUAAAAAUCUCUAGAACGUUAGAUAUAAUAUGAUGAAGGCACUAUUUGAUAAUAAGUUUAUAAGAAAAUAAUAUGUCCAAAAUGAUGGUAACGUACAUUUGACUGACUUUUAACACAUUAAAAUCGAGUGAAGAGGUUAAGAUGGACUUCCUCGUAACACUUUAAAAAAAUCAAUUUUAAUAUUAAUAAAAAAACUCAUUGCAAGUACUUGUGUAUAAAUAUUGUAUCAUCAAAUUUUAAUAUAUUUAUAUCAACUAAAAUAAAAGCUAGAAAAAAAAAGAUAUUAUAAGACACGUGGAGGGGGCACACAGCACAGAACAACAUGCCUUCAUUUCAAUGCUAAAGUAGUUUGGAAAAAGUAAAAGUUAAUGAGUUCAUUAUUGUCAAGGAGGAGUGAAAUAUAAAAAAAACAAAAACUAAAAACUACAAACUACAAACUACAAACUACAAACUAAAAACGCAAAAAAGGUGGCAUCAGACAUGAAUAACGUACGAAUCUAUGUAUGUAUGCAUGUAUAUUAAGGGUGAGUAUGAUGUGAUUUGAAAUUUAAAUUGCAUACGAAAUUAUUUAGGUGUGGUUUUACAAAUUUAAAAUCGCACAUAAAACUGUUAGUAAUUGGUGCGGUGCAGUUUUGAACGGUACGAUUUUAUUUGGUGCGGUUUCGGUUUCAAAACCAAUUGAAACAACCAAAUUUUAUACAAUUUAAAUUAACAAUUUAGCAUCACACAAUAUUAAAUAUCAUUUUGAUAACACAAUUAACCUUACCUAUAAUGUUUUGUCUAAACAAAGGCUAAAUAUAAUAGAGUAAUAUGAUGUAAAUUAUUAGAGUAGAAUAUAGUAGAAUAAAUAAAAGUUAAAUACAAUCUUUGCUACUCUACUCUUAGUAACAAUAUGUUGUAAAAUUCUUAGUAAUAAUAUGGUGUAAUAAUUUACAGGCUACUUUAUCAUAUUACAACAUAUUAUUACUAAGAGUAGCUUAAUCCUAUUAUAGCAUAUUGUUAACAAAGAUCAUAUUACAAUAAUAUUACAAUCAUAAUACAAAGAGUCAAAAAUAUUAUAGGCUACUCUACCAAUAUGGUGCAAUUUCGAUUUUAUGCAUGCGUGCAGUUUUGGCUGCUAACCAAAUCGGAACCGUAAAUUUAAUUUUUUUUUACCCAGCUAAAACCACCACACGUCAGAACCGUUGGUGCAGUUUGUGCGAUUUUUGGUACGAUUUCAAUUCUAAUUUAGUUACUUGCUCAGUCCUAAUGUAUAUUAUAAAGCGUUCAUGGGACGUUGAUGAUUUUGAGUCACAUUUUUUUUAUUUUUCUCUCAAAUUCUUACCACUUCAGAUAUAUUAUUAUUUUAUUAUUUUUUAUUAUUUAUUUAAUUUUUUAAUUUUUAUAAAAAAAUUAUUUUAUCCCACAUAAUUUAUAUAUGUAAUGCGUAUGACACCAAAUAUUAAAUAUUAAUAUGAAAUUAAGAAAUGAAUAUAUAUCAUUGAAUUUAUACAAACAAACAAAAAAUAACUAUUUAAACAUCGAGUUUUUAAAUAGAGUUAAGUCUUUAGAUAUGAGAUUUUUUCUCUGUAUAUACUCAAAAAAAAAUGCUAGAUUGUAUAAUGAUGAUCUUAUAGAUCUAAAAAGUAGUAAAUUAAUAAAAAGAUUGAUACAUAAGAUAAAUACAAGAAAAGAUAAGAAGAGAUGCGCCCACGUCACUACAACAAAAAGGCUUAUCAACGACCGCAUAUCAGCGACCGCAUACAGUCGCAGAUGAUCCUUAGCGACCGCCUACAGUCGCUGAUAUUAGUCGCAUAUAAUCUGGUCGCUAGGUAGAUAUCAACGACCAUUAUUAGCGACCAAAUUAUCAGCGACCGCUAUCAGCGACUAACACGGUCGCUAAUAUGAGUCAUGAUGAGUCAGUUGUCAAGGCUGAUGUGACACACGUGUCAACGACCACAAAUAGCGACCGAUGCGAUCGCUAAUUUAUCAAAGGCCAUCAGCGACCGCGAUCUGUAUUAGCGACCAUAUGCGGUCGCUGAUGCUGAUAUUUUUUUUAAAAUAUUUUUUCCUAUUUUAUGGAUUUCCCAAAAAAAUUAUAACCUGCUUCGUACCUGCUUUCUAUCCCAACACAGUAGUAUAUAUAAGCAUCCAUAUAAACAUCCAUCCAUGAUUUAUAUAUAUAUCUCAACACAUCCACGUACAACAGUAUAUAUAAACAUCCAUCCAUUGCAGACACGUAAACCAACACAAUAUUCAAUCAAUACAAUUGUCCAAAGAAUGAAUAUAAAAGUACAAGGCAACUACCCAAAUAUGUGAGACCCCAGAUUUUGUGAAUUAAGAUUUAAAUUUCUCGAAAUAUUUUUUUUAAUAUUAUGGUGUGGAUUUGAUAUAAUGUUAUAAGUUGUGGGUGAUAUUUAUAAAUUAUGCAAAGUAUGCAAGUUGUUAUAAAAUAUUCAUUUGGUCGGGGAAUAUUCCUUUUGUCGGGAAUAUCCGUACGACGGCACAAUCAUUGGUGAACCCACAACGGAAGUAUUGUCGUAGUAAUAAAACGACAAAAUUAUUUUUAUGAAAAUAACGGCGGAAGUUUUACCGUUAAAACUGUUGAACUACUCGGUAGUAAAAGUACAGUAAUACGCGUGGUUGCAUAGUAGCACACGGUAUUGGUUAUUGAUGCUUACGUGAUAAGUCACUCAGUUAUACUCAAUUAUUGCUAUAGUAAUUGCUGCAUCAUAUCUCUUAUAUUAUUGAUUCGAUUAUUGUCACAGUAUCAUCUGCGUUAUAUGAUAUAUUAUUAAAUUAAUAAUUGAGAUGACAAAGUUAUUCAUAUUAUUAAAUUGCAAUAUUUAUAAUAUCUAGAAGUUCUGCCAAUGAGAGAUUUGGUCACCUAAUUGCGCGCCAAUAGGGAGAAAUCCAUAUUGGAAUGCCCCCUCUUUCCUGGGAACGACCUGGUUGUUAAAUAUUGUGAGUUAUAAUAUUAAUGAUGAAUAAGUUCGUGUUGAUUAAAGAUGAAUUUGAUAGUUCCAUUGUGUUGGGAUUAUUAAUGUUAGUGGAAAUCGACAUCUAUUUCGAUAAUAAUUGAUGUCUAGAGAUUAUAUUGCUCAAUCUGGUAUUCAUGGCACUUUUCGUGUCGGAGUACUAUUCACGAGUUACUAUUGAGUCACAUUCACUUACUAUUAGGGGAGUUGGUGCAAGAUUGAUGAUACUUGCAUGAAUAAGUUAAAAAUGGAGGUAUAGAUCGAGGUACUAUACUGUAAUUAAUUUUUCACAUGUUUAGAACUAUUGAGUCACAUGAUUUACUAUUGAUUCACAUGAUUUACUAUUAAGGGAGGUGGUGCAAGUUUGAUAAUACUUGGAUGACUGAAUUAUAAAUGAAAGAAAAGUUAAAGGUAUUGUACUGUAAUAUUUUGAGCCCCAAAACGUGCAAUUAUCGAAAUUAUAUUUUUCUAUAAAUAGAAGCUCAUUCUUCCUUCAUUUCUCACCAAUUCACUAAAGCUUUAGAGCCAUUAUUAUAGAAAGAAAUUAUAGAGAGAAGCUAUAAAGAGAAAAUCUAUAGAGAGAAAGAAGAAAAGAAGCCUGGUAGCUCACAAUUCCAGUAUCUAGUUUCUUCUGAGGUAAGAGAUAUUAUUUUUUGUACCUGUAAGGGGUAUUAUUCUUUCGUAUUCAUGAAGAGAAUUAUUUCUUUCAAUACUCGUAAGAGUUGUUAUUCCAUUCUUUAUUAUUAUGUUGGAAUAACCUGUUUAUGCGAAGUACCGCAUACAUGGUGAAAUUCUUCUAUUAUUCCAUUCUUCAUUAUUAUGUUGGAAUAACCUGUUUAUGCGAAGUACCGCAUACAUGGUAAAAUUCUGUUGUUAUUUUAUUCUUUAUUAUUCUAUCGGAAUAUCCUGUCUGUGCGUUUUACGCCGGACCUAGUUCCAUUAUUUAUUAUUUCGCAUUUAUUAUUCUAUCGGAAUAUCUUGUAUGUGCGUUUUACGUCGGACCUGGUUCCAUUAUUUAUUAUUCCGCAUUUAUUAUUCUGUCGGAAUAUCCUGUCUGUGCGUUUACGCCGGACCUGGUUCCAUUAUUUAUUAUUCUGUUGGGAAUAACCUGUCUGUGCGGUCUCUAUCGCAUGCAUGGUGAAUCCUUCUGUUAUUCCAUUCUUUAUUAUUCUGUUGGAAUAACCUGUCUAUGUGGAUUACCACAUGCAUGGUGAAUGAUCCUUCGUAUUCAUUCCUUAUUAAAUUGUGAAAAUAAUCUGGUUACGUUGAUUAUGAUGAGAGUCAUAAUAAAAGCAUUGGACUGAUGAAAAUCAUGGGUAUAUGAAGUAUUAGUAAGUGUUAUGAUGAGUUAUGUUGGUUAUUAUGUGAAAACAUGAAAGUUUUUUAGAAAUCACAAAGGGUUGAAAAAUCAGAUUUUGGUGAAAAUGGAACAUGAAAUUCAAUUAAUCAUAUCUCCUAUUAUAUUUCGAAUUUUUGAGUGUGGUCAAGUUCUAGAGUUAGAUCUAUGAGUUUUGUAGCAUCUCCAAGUGAAAUCACUGUAAAAGGUGUUGUAGAUUUUUGUGUGGACUGAUUUUAGCAAAGGAGUCAAAAGCUGCAAAUACCGAAAAUGCUACUGCCCAGAUUUUUAAAAGGACAGUUUUGGCCACUUAAUUUGUGAGAAAAAUUUCGGCCUUUUGGAAAAUGAAAGUAUAUGGUAUAAAGAACAUCCUGCCCAAUAAUGAGCUCUUUCCGACUUAAAAUGAGCAAGUUAUGACCAUUUCAAUAUUUAGGUUUUUCCGACGAAAAAUGCUAUAACCGGAGUUCUAUAAUUCCGAUGACCAUGAAAUUUAAACUGAAAGCUCACGUUAACAUGUGUAAGAUCCUGCCAAGAUUAAGGAAUUUUUGGAGUUAAACUUGAGGUAGCUAAAUUCUUAAGGAAUUAAUUGGAAAUUGAUUUUUGAAAAAUAGUAAAUGAAUUUUAAAAAUUCCGAGAAAAAAUUAUGUUCUUUAUGGGACUAUAUUAUGCUAAAUCCCAGAAAAGAAAUAUUUUUGGAACUGAUUUGGUAUUUUUCAUGAAAAUAGUUUAGUUACGAACAUAUGAGUUAAAUAUGUUAUGUGAAGUAAAAAAGUUGGAAAAUAGGAUUUUAUGGCUUGGAAAUCCUAUAUAAGGUAUAUGUAGAUUGUUGAUUUGAUCAUUGGUGAUGAAAUCUUAUGAGUAUGGCAUUUUUGAAUGAUUAAAUGCAUUAUUUGGUAAAGUGUAAACAAUUAAAAUAAAUUAUUUAUAAAUUUAAGAAGUGAUUAAAAUAUUGUUAUGAUAUUAAUAAUAUUAGAUUAUGAGUGGUUGAUAAUAUUUGGAUAAUUUUAAAGUCUUUAAUAAUUAUCCUUGUUUUCGUUUGAUUAAUGCUUAUAUCACUGUCAUCAUCCUCAUGCUUAUAUGGUGAUGAAAGUUAUAUUUGGCUUACGUGUGAAGAUGGACUGUUGAUUAUUGAGUUGUAUAUCUUUAGCUUACCUGCAAAGAUGGAUUGUUGAUUAUUGGUUUUAUUGUUGUAUAUCUUUGGCUUACAUGCAGAGAUGGACUUGGUAUGAUUAUGACCAAGGAUUAUUCGGUAUAGUCAUGACCAUUGAUGAUUUAAAGAAUAUCAUUGGCCCGUAAUGCAAGGAUGAUUCGAUGAUGUGGUUUAUUUAUUAAGCAGAGUCUCAGCGAUAAAAGUGAUAAAAAACUUUUUAAAUCAUAAAAGAUAGUAGAUUUUAUUCUCUACUUGACUCUUUUAAUGGAUUGCUGGUUCCACUGCAGUUAAACUUGAUGUCUAUUGUAUUUUAUCAGUUUAACAUUGUUGAAGACUAUUGAUAAUUUAUUCUGCAUUAUCUUAGUCAUAAUAUUUCUUACUGGGCUAGGUGAGCUCACCCUUUCUUUCACUGUUCUCUUCAGGAAAUGAGAAUAUAGCUGGGACGAGUCUGGAAAAGGAGUGACGGUCCAGAUGAUAGCAUUAGUAGUCCUCACUAUUCUGAUUAAAUAGUAUGAAAAUAAAUGUAAUGAGGACUCCUUUGAGUUUGUAUAUUGUCUAGAUGACAAUAUACGUAUUAAAACUCUUAGAUUAUGUUUUGUAGUAUUUUACACGACAGUUGUAUUAUUAAGUUGUAUUUGAAUUUUAUACCAUGUAUUUGGCGACUCAGGAUGGGGGAUGAAUACCUAUUUUGGGGGCGUCACAAAAUAUCUAAAAAAUAAGUGUAGCUCUUCAUGCAUCAUCAUCCAAAUUAGUAGGACCUUGUAAUUAGCAAAAGAAUAUAACAUGUUACAUGUGUUGAUACUGCUAUGACUUAGGGAAAGCUAAACAAUAGAAAUUAUUUAAACAUAAGUAAGACACAACAAUAUCUAUGUAUAUCUCAUCGUUAUCCUGAUAUCGUGCUGCUACCGCCACUGCAUCUGCCAACUCAUCAAGACUCAGAGACUGCAGAUGCCCGUCCAGUAUACAAAGAAAAUCAGGAUCUCGACAGAUCGCUUUCACACAGUCAGUAGGAGUAUGAUAGGCUGGAUGAUCUGAUGACUGUGUUAUAAAACUUCAAAUUUUACGAAUAAAGAUUUAAUUUUCUCGAAAUAUUAUUUUUAAUAUUAUGGUGUGGAUUUGAGAUAAUGUUAUAGUUGUGGGUAGUAUUUAUAAAUUUUGCAAAGUAUGCAAGUUGUUAUAUAAUAUUCGAUUGGUCGGGGAAUAUUCUUUUUAUCGGGGAAUAUCCGUACGACGGUACAAUCAUUGGUAGACACCACAACGAAAUUAUUUUUGGAUUGAGAAAAUGACAAAAAUAUUUUUAUGAAAAUAAUGACAGAAGUUUUACCGUUAAUACUGUUGAACUACCCGGUAGUAAAAGUACAGUAAUACGCGUGAUUGCAUAGUAGCACACGGUAUUGAUUAUUGAUGCUUACGUGAGAAGUCACUCAGUUUUGUUUAAUUAUUGCUACAGUAGUUGUUGCAUAGUAUCUCACGUUAUUUGAUUCAAUUAUUGUCGAUAUUUUAUAUUAUUAAAUCAAUAAUUGAGAUAACAAAGUUAUUAAUAUUAUUAUUUGCAUUAUUAACGAUGUCUAGAAGUUCUGCCAAGGAGAGGUUUGGUCACCUAAUUGCGUGCCAAUAGGGAAAAAUCCUUAUUGAAAAGCCCCCUCUUUCCUGGGAACGACCUGUUCGAUUAAUAUUGUGAAUUAUAAUAAUGAUGAUAAAUGUUGUUAAAUAUAUUGAGGUGUCUUUUUAUGAAGUCACGGAAGUUUAUAUAUAUAUUAUAUAUAUAAAUUUUGUUUUAUUAGUAUUAUUAAGGUAAUAAAACAGAAAAACUUUUUAUAUAAAACAUAAUACUUUUAUAAAGUUAUUUGUUUUAUUAGACAAUAAUUAGAAUAUAAUAUAUUUUAUUAUGCAUAGUGUUUGCAUAGUACCUGCAUAGUGUUUUGCAUAGUAAAAUCUUUUUAUAUAAAAUAGAAUACUUUUAUAAAGUUAAUUGUUUUAUUAGAUUUUAAUAAAAUAUAUAUAUAUAUUAUAUUUUAUUGCAUAGUAUCCUUUCUAUUUUCCUAUAAAUAGGAUGCUUAGUUAGAAUUGAAAUCACACCAGAAGUUCAGAGAAUUCUCCUUCUAUAAUCUUGAGCGUAUUUCUUUAGAGUUUUAAGAAGCUUUGAGCGUAGUGCAAGUUUUCUUCAAGUAUAUCCCCGCCCUACCCGUCGGAGUACUCUUCUUUAUAAGGUAAGGUGUGAGACCCCAGAUUUUAUGAAUAAAUAUUUAAUUUUUUCAAAAUAUUUUUUUAAAUAUGGUGUGGAUUUGAGAUAGUGUUAUAGUUGUGGGUAGUAUUUGAAAAUUUUGCAAAGUAUGCAAGUUGUUAUAAAUAUUCGAUUGGUCGGGGAAUAUUCUUUUUGUCGGAGAAUAUUUUUACGACGACACAAUCAUUGGUGGACCCUACAACGGAAGCACUGUCGUAGUUAGUAAACGACAAAAAUAUUUUAUGAAAAUAACGGCGGAGGUUUUACCGUUAAUACUGUUGAACUACCUGGUAGUAAAAAUACAGUAAUACGCGUGGUUGCAUAGUAGCACAUGGUAUUGAUUAUUGAUGCUUAAGUGAUAAGUCACUCAGUUAUACUGCAUUAUUGCUACAAUAAUUGCUGCAUCAUAUCUCUCAUAUUAUUAAUUCGAUUAUUGUCACAGUAUCAUCUGUAUUAUUUGUUAUAUUAUUAAAUCAAUAAUUGAGACGACAAAGUUAUUCAUAUUAUUAAAUUGUAAUAUUUACAAUGUCUAGAAGUUCUGUCAAGGAGAGGUUUGAUCACCUAAUUGCGCGCCAAUAGGGAGAAAUCCUUAUUGGAAAGCCCCCUCUUUCCUGGGAAUAACCUGGUUGUUAAAUAUUGUGAGUUAUAAUAUUAAUGAUGGAUAAGUUCGUGUUGAUUAAAGAUGAAUUCGAAAGUUUCAUUGUGUUGAAAUUAUUUGUGUUAGUAGAAAUCGACAUUUAUUUCAAAAAUAAUUGAUGCCUGGAGGUUAUAUUGUUCAAUCGGGUAUUCGGGGCACUUUUCAUGUCGGAGUACUAUUCAUGAGUUAUUAUUCAUGAGUUACUAUUCACGAGUUACUAUUCAUGAGUUACUAUUCACGAGUUACUAUUCACUCUAGUAUUGUUCACUCGGGUAUUUGGAUACAAUAUUAUUCCAUGAAGAUAUGUGUUAAUUUUUCUGACCGUUGGUUGAAAUUAUAAUAGUAAAUCAAUAUGGAUCAUUGAUUUAAAGUCUUAAUAGUAACUUGUCCCUUUAAUAUUACCAAGAGUUAAUUGCCCCUUCGUAAAUAGUAACUUGUCCCUUCAAUAUUACCAAGAGUUAAUUGCCCCUUCGUAAAUAGUAACUUGUCCCUUCAAUAUUACCAAGAGUUAAUUGCCCCUUCGUAAAUAGUAGUUGUCCCUUCAAUAUUACCAAGAGUUAUUUGCCUCUUCGGUAUUCCAAGAGUUAAUUACCCCUUCACAAAUAGUAGUUGUCUCUUCAAUAUUACCAAGAGUUAUUUGCCUCUUCGGUGUUCCAAGGGUUAAUUGCCCCUUCGCAAAUAGUAGUUGUCUCUUCAAUAUUACCAAGAGUCAUUUUGAUCCUUCAUUAAGACCAAGAGCCACUCUCGGUUUUUCUAUAAAUAGAAGCUCAUUCCUUCAUUAUUUCUUACGAAUUCACUGAAACUCUAGAUAGAGAAAUUGUAGAGAUAAAGAAGAAGAGUAUUCUGCUACUUCACUACUUCUAUAUCCAGUUUCUUUUACGGUAAGGGAUAUUAUUUAUUGUACCCAUAAGGGGUGUUAUUCUUUCUUAUUCAUGAAGAGAACUUCUGUUAUUCCAUUCUUUAUUAUUCUGUUAGAAUAACCUGUAUAUGAGGCAUACCCUAUACAUAACCUGUAUACAUGGAAUACCCUAUACUUGGUGAAAUCCCUCUGUUCUUCCAUUCUAUAUUAUUAUGUUGGAAUAACCUAUUUAUGCGAAGUACCGCAUACAUGGUGAAAUUCUUCUAUUAUUCCGUUCUUUAUUAUUCUGUCGGAAUAUCCUAUCGGUGCGAAUUUCGCCUGACCUGGUUCCAUUAUUUAUUAUUCCGCAUUUAUUAUUCUGUCGGAAUAUCCUGUCUGUGCGUUUACGCCGGACCUGGUUCCAUAUUUAUUAUUCUGUUGGAAUAACCUGCCUGUGCUAUCUAUCACAUGCCUGGUGAUUUCUUUUGUUAUUCCAUUAUUUAUUAUACUCAGUUGGUUAAAGUUUUAACUUCUAUACUCCAUGAAAUUAGUAGAAUAUCCUUGAUAUUUGCGCUUCAUCCAGUAUCUUUUCAUGGAAAUAUUCUUCUGAGCAUUCUUGAAUUUUACUCUACAAAGAAGUAUCAUGUUGACAAUUUGGACGUUAUUAGUUCCUGGAUAAAUUAAUUCUUGAACUUGUUUUAUUGAAUUCUUAUAUCAUUGUCAUCAUCCUCAUGUUUAUAUUUUGUUGAAAGUCAUCUGUGGCCUGUAGUGCAUAGAUGGACUUGGUAUGAUUAUGACCAGGGAUUAUUCGGUGUAAUCAUGACCGUAAUGUUACAAAUGAUGUGGUAAAAGUCCUCAUUGGCCCGUAGUGCAUUGAUGGACAGUUGUUGGCAUGAUCAUGACCAUUAAUGAAUACACAAAUAUUCUUGGCCCGUAGUGCAUGGAUAAUUGUGGUCGUGAUACUAAAGAAUAUCCUUGGCCGUAGUGCAGGGGUGAUUCGAUGAUGUGGAUUAUUUAUUAAGCUGAGUCUCAGCGAUAAAAGUGAUGAAAAACCUUUUAAAUCAUAAAAGAUAGUAGAUUUUAUUCUCUACUUGACUCUUUUAAUGGAUUGCUUGUUCCGCUGCAGUUAAACUUGAUGUCUAUUGUAUUUUAUCAGUUUAACAUUGUUGAAGGCUAAUGAUAAUUUAUCCUGCAUUAUCUUAGUCAUAAUAUUUCUUACUGGGCUAGUUGAGCUCACCCUUUCUUUCACUGUUCUCUUCAGAAAAUGAGAAUAUAGCUGGUACGAGUCGGGAAACAGAGUGACAGUCUAGAUGAUAGCACUAGUAGUCCUCACUAUUCUAUUAAAUAGUGUGAUAAUAAAUGUAAUGAGGACUGAAUUUGAGUUUGUAUACUGUCUAUGAGGACUCCAUUGAGAGUGGAUAUUGUCUAGAAGGCAAUAUUCUUGAUUAAACUCUCAGUUUAUGUUUUGUAGUAUUUUACAAGAUAGUUGUAUAAUUAAGUUGUAUUUGAUUUAUGUACCAUGUAUUUGGCGACUCAAGAUAGGUGAUGUAUACCUGUUUUUGGGGCGUCACAUAAGGGGUAUUAUUUCUUUCGUAUUCAUGAAGAGAACUUCUGUUAUUCUAUUUCUUAUUAUUAUGUUGGAAUAACCUGUAUAUGCGAAGUACCGCAUACAUGGUGAAAUUCUUCUGUUAUUCCAUUCUUUAUUAUUAUGUUGGAAUAACCUGUAUAUGCGAAGUACCGCAUACAUGGUGAAAUUCUUCUGUUAUUCCAUUCUUUAUUAUUCUGUUGGAAUAUCCUGUUGGUGAGUAUUACGCCUGACCUGGUUCCAUUAAUUUUUAUGCUGUUGGAAUAACCUGUCUGUGCAGUCUAUCGCAUGCAUGGUGAUUUCUGUUGUUAUUUCAUUCUUUAUUAUUCUUUUGGAAUAUCCCGUCGGUGCAAAUUUUUUCUGACCUGGUUCCGUUCUUUAUUAUUAUGUCAGAAUAUCCUGUCUGUGCGUUUACGCAUGACCUGGUUCCAUUCUUUAUUAUUCUGUUGGGAAUAACCUGUCUGUGCAGUCUAUCGCACGCAUGGUAAAUCCUUAUGUUAUUUCAUUCUUUAUUAUUCUGUUGGAAUAACCUGUCUAUGUGGAUUACCACAUGCAUGGUGAAUGACCCUUCGUAUUCAUUUCUUAUUAAAUUAUGGAAAUGAUCUGUCUACGUGGAUUACCGCAUGACGGGUGAAAAUCCAUUGCAGUUUCAUAUAUUCUAUGAUACUCAGUUGGUUAAAGCUUUGGCUUCUAUAUUCCUUGAAAUUAGUGGAAUAUCCUGGAUAUUUGCGCUCCAUCCAGUAUCUUUUCGUGGAAAUUUUCUUCUGAGCAUUCUUGAAUUUUUCUCCACAAAGCAGUAUCAUGUUGACAAUUUGGACAUUAUUAAGUUUAGGAUAAAUUAACUUAUAAAUCUUUAAAAUUUAUUCUUGAACUUGUUUUAUUGAAUUAUUAUGUCAUUGUCAUGAUGAGUUAUGUUGGUUCUUAUGUGAAAACAUGAAAGUUUCUUAGAAAUCAGAAAGGGUUGAAAAUCAGAUUUUGGUGAAAAUGGAAUAUGAAAUUCAAUUGACCAUAUCUCCUAUUAUAUUUCAAAUUUUUGAGUGUGUUCAAGUUCUAGAGUUAGAUCUAUGAGUUUUCUAACUUAUCCAAGUGGAAUCACUAGAAAAGGUGUUAUAGAUUUUCGUGUGGACUGAUUUUAGCAAAGGAGUCAAAAACUGCAAAGUACCAAAAAGGCUACUGUCCAGAAAAUUAAAAGGGCAUUUUCGGCCACUUAGUUUGUGAGAAAAAUUCCGACCUUUUGGGACAUGGAAAUAUAUGGUAUAAAGUAUCUCCUGUCCAAAAAUUAGCUUAUUCCGACUUAAAAUGAGCAAGUUAUGACCAUUUCAAUAUUUAGGUUUUUCUGAUGAAAAACGCUAUAACCGGAGUUCUGUACUCCGAUGACCAUGAAAUUUAAACUGGAAGCUCACGUUAACAUGUGUAAGAUCCUGCCAAGAUUUGGGAAUUUCUGGAUUUAAACUUGAGGUAGCUGAUUUCUUAAGGAAUUAAUUAGAAAUUGAUUUUUGAAAAAUACUUAAAGGAGUUGAAAAAUUAUAAAAAAAUACUUGUUGUGUAUGAAAUAUAUGUAUAUAUGUUUGGCCAAAGGAUGGAAAAAUAACAAGUUGAUUUGGUAAUUUUUCAUGAAAAUGGUUUAGUUACGAACAUAUGAGUUAAAUAUGUUAUGUGAAGUUGAAAGGUUAGUAAAUAGGAUUUUAUAGCUUAGGAAUCCUAUAUAGGGUAUAUGCAGAUUUUUGAUAAGAGAUUUGAUCAUUGGUGAUGAAAUUUUAUGAGUAUGGCAUUUUUGAAUGAUUAAAUGCAUUAUUUGGUAAAGUAUAAACAAUUGAAAUAAAUUGUUUAUAAGUUUAAGAAGUGAUUAAAAUAUUGUUAUANNNNNNNNNNNNNNNNNNNNNNNNNNNNNNNNNNNNNNNNNNNNNNNNNNNNNNNNNNNNNNNNNNNNNNNNNNNNNNNNNNNNNNNNNNNNNNNNNNNNNNNNNNNNNNNNNNNNNNNNNNNNNNNNNNNNNNNNNNNNNNNNNNNNNNNNNNNNNNNNNNNNNNNNNNNNNNNNNNNNNNNNNNNNNNNNNNNNNNNNNNNNNNNNNNNNNNNNNNNNNNNNNNNNNNNNNNNNNNNNNNNNNNNNNNNNNNNNNNNNNNNNNNNNNNNNNNNNNNNNNNNNNNNNNNNNNNNNNNNNNNNNNNNNNNNNNNNNNNNNNNNNNNNNNNNNNNNNNNNNNNNNNNNNNNNNNNNNNNNNNNNNNNNNNNNNNNNNNNNNNNNNNNNNNNNNNNNNNNNNNNNNNNNNNNNNNNNNNNNNNNNNNNNNNNNNNNNNNNNNNNNNNNNNNNNNNNNNNNNNNNNNNNNNNNNNNNNNNNNNNNNNNNNNNNNNNNNNNNNNNNNNNNNNNNNNNNNNNNNNNNNNNNNNNNNNNNNNNNNNCUAAUGAUAAUUUAUUCUGCAUUAUCUUAGUCAUAAUAUUUCUUACUGGGCUAGUUGAGCUCACCCUUUCUUUCACUGUUCUCUUCAGAAAAUGAGAAUAUAGCUGGGACGAGUCGGGAAACGGAGUGACGGUCCAGAUGAUAGCAUUAGUAGUCCUCACUAUUCUGUUAAAUAGUGUGACAAUAAAUGUAAUGAGGACUCCUUUGAGUGUGGAUAUUGUCUAGAUGACAAUAUUCUUAUUAAAACUCUAAGCUAUGUUUUGUCGUAUUUUUACACGACGUUUGUAUAAUUAAGUUGAAUUUGUAUUUUGUACCAUGUAUUUGGUGACUUAAGAUGGGUGAUGUAUACCUAUUUUUGGGGGCGUCACAUGUGUAGACUGGGUAGCAGAGCUGCAUGCGGUCGCUGAUAUUAACACCAGUACAAAGUACUUAAUAGACAACACUUAAACCACAAUAUUUUUUAUAAAAACGUAGUGGUAUUUUUUUUAUAACGUUUUUAAUAAAAACGUUGUAGAUAUAUAUGCAAAAACGUUAUCUAUUUAAAAGGGCAUUUUUUUAGUUUUAAUUAGAUAACGUUUUUUUUAAAAAUGUUGUCUAUCAAGAAAAACACGGAGCUUGAACUGAACACUUAAAAUUAAAACAUACCGUCUUUUUCUCUCCAAGGCUCGUCAGUGCAGAGCUUCAGUUUCCUUCGUGUAGAUCUACUUUCUCUCUCUUCUCUCUUUCGCUCAUAAAACCAAAACCCUAGUUAUUCCUCCCCUUUAAAGUUCCUUUCUCUGCUCUCUUUCGGUCCGUUUGAGUGCUUGUUGUACGCCUUUCACCAAAAGGUAGAUAGAGCUAGAGAGCGACAGAGAGAGAGUGAGCAACGAACGAUCGAUUGCAUCAGGCAACCAUCCUAGGGUUUUCUUCAACAAAUCUCUGGCUUAAAUAUUCGUUGGUACAAAGGUAUGUAUGAUUAUUAAGGGUAUUUGUGCGAUUGAUUGUGAUGGGUACGUUUGUUUGUUUAAUUCUAGGUUUUGAAAUUCCACAACUCUCGUUCUCCCUCUGUCUCUGGUAUUUUGGAUUUGGGGAUUUUCACAAGCAGUGAUGGAAUUCUCUCAACUUGAAUCUAUCGUCAAUCUUUGUCAGAUAAGGAGAUUGAUUAGACCAAAAUCAAAAGGAAAAAUUUGUUUGAUUUAUUGCACGAAAGAGUGCUUUCAAUCAGGUAUCUAUUUUUUGAAUUAAGAUUAUUUUUAUGACUUCUUUUUUGCUAAUUUGUUUUUAUAACUUUGUGUUUUUGUUUGUAGGGUUCUAGUCAAUCUGUGUAAGAUUAUGUUUGUUUGCUUGGAAAUUCUGAGAUAGCUGAAUUCAUGUUCAGUUAUCAUAUUCUGACUAUGUUUAUUCAAUUGCUUGACAUUUUUAUAAUAAAAGAGCAUUACUUUAAUUUGGAUGAGGUUCACAUUUCAUAGCCAUGUUUAUGUUUAUUGGCCUGACAUUUAUAGCUCCUUCAAGAGGAUAUAAACUCAUCUUAACUAUGCUAGCAUCAAUGAGUCUCAUUACAAAAUAACAGGUCAUUGCCGACGGACAGUGCCGUCGCCAAUGACCCUCUUGUCGUCAGCAAUGAGGUCAUUGGCGACGGCAAGGUCCGUCGCCCGUCCCGUCGCCGUAUGGGUCAUCGCCCCUGGCUCCCGUCGCUCGCCGUCGACAAGAGGGUCAUUACCGACAGGGUCAUUGCCGACGGCUCGCCGUCGCCAAUGACUCAUUGUUGACGGCAUAGCCGUCGCCAAUGACCCUCAAUGCCCGUCGCCAAUGAGUUUGAAAUAAAAUUUUUUUUUUUGAAAAAUUGCAAAAUACCCCUGUUCAUUUACAUAUACAUAAUUAUACCUGUUAUAAACUAAAGAAAAAUUAUAAAGAAUUCUUCACGAACGCAUAUCAAUAACAAUAAUAGCUUUUGCUAUAUCAACCAUCAAAUAUGUAAACAACGUAAUGACUUAUAGAUAAAAGUCAUACAAUGUAAAUACAAAAUGUAAUCAUAAACAAUCAAUAUAUUUAUAUACAUAUACCAUCAACCUAACUAUAUUCUAAACUCUAGUCUGUACAACUCAAAAGCUUUAUAAAUAUACAUAUAUGAAAGUCAAAAUAUAAACAUAAUGGGUACUACAACCCAAGAUCAGGAAUGUCGGUAUCACCAUCGCCGCCGGUCCCAUCGCCGGUCCCACCGCUGGUCCCACUUACGGUCCCACUGCCGGUCCCACCUCCGGUCUGACUGCCGGUUCCACCCUCAAUAGUCUCAUCAUCAUCCGCCCGAAGUCUCAUCAACAAGACCCUACAAUAUUAAAAUAUUAAUAACGAAUUCGAAAAUAGAGCAUAUUUAAAUUGGUUUUGUUUGUGUUCUUCAAGUGUUGUUGAGUUUUACAAACUGGGCGAUAACUCGGUCUCCAUAUGUCGAAAUCGAGUCACAUAAGUUAUAAUGCGUGUCCAAUACCUACGCGGAGCUAUGUGUGUGUUUUCGUGGCAUUCGGAUGGCCGAUGCGGAUUUUGGGCUGUUUUUCGGCUUUUUGCCUAAGUGUUGGCGAGUUUUGCAAACUGGAAGAUAACUCGGAUUCCGUAUGUCAGAAUCGAGUCCCCUUAGAUCUUGAAAGAAGGGUUAUUUUGAAAGCAUUUGGAGCUGAGCUUGUUUUAACUGAAUCUGCAAAAGGCAUGAAAGGAGCAGUUCAGAAAGCUGAAGAAAUUGUAAAUAGCACAGAACAUGCUUAUAUGCUUUAACAAUUUGACAACCCUGUAAAUCCCAAGGUUCGUGUUUCAAUUUAUAAUAUCAUACCUUGUUGAUUUUGUUUGUUGUGUGUGUGCCACCCCCUCUAUCUCUUAUUGUAAGGUGUUACUUUUUUUUAAGCUUACAAUUUUUCAAAUCAUCAAAGUGUAUUGCAUAUCACUCACCAUGAGUGAUAGGUGUUAAUUCUUUGUCUAACUUACAGUGGAACAAAGGUUUAUGAACUCUCCAUUUAUGCUGAUGUUUCUGCAUUUUAUACUCUAAAUUAUUGUUAGUCUUUUCUUCGGCUACUUUCAGAUCUUUCCUGUAGAAUACUAGUUCCUUUAAGUUGUUAAUUUCUAACCAUUUUUAUAUCUUUAUCACUGAUCUUCAGCUGUAGCCCGUACAUGAACAUGGAAUUCAUAACCUAUUGAUUGAAACUGAUGAACUCCAAAAUUUCUUCCUCAGGUCAUGGAGCGUGUGAGACAGGCUAGGAAGGCACAUAAAAUAUGGGAAAGGAGUUCUUUUAAGAAAAGACGUCAAUUUCUACGGAUACUUCUUAAGUAUAUUAUUGAACAUCGAUCAAGAGCUUAUAUGCGAGUAAGGUCCUCCCCUGCAUGAUGUAGUACAUGUCUAUUCUAUUAAUCUGUUUAACCUGCUGCAUGUAUCUUCCCAUUCUAGAACCAUUAUUAUACCAAGCCAAUAUUUGAAGGAACACAACUUAUAAUAUUUGUUAUGUUUGGUUAGGUGUAGACAAUUUGGUUACUCUUAAACCCCUAAUGCUUAUGUGAGAACCAUGUUGAUGGAGAUAGUUUAAUUCCAACUGCCUAGUGGCAUGCUUGUUAUUUUCUGAUCUUCCUAAAUUCCUAAACAUAUAUUCCACAUGAGGUUGAAAUUUAUAUUCUCGUAUGUAACUUAUUGCUGAUAUACUGUAGAAUAUGUUAAUGACCUGCAACUUUAGUUCUCCUUAUUCCUUAAUAUAUUGCUAUUAUGAUUUGUAAAUGCUAUAAUCAUAUUCUGAAAAUAAAGUUCUAUUGCAAUAUGGAUUAGCUAGAGUACAUUUUAAUUCUCUCUGGUCUGUUGGUGGGUUGUUUUGCAGCUUGAAGCUGCUGCAGUCAACUUAGUUGCUGGAGAGAAACCUGGCGAUGUUUACUCAGAAAUUGCUUCAAGGUAUGGUGUAUAAGUAUGUAUUGUUAACAUAGGACUUUAAAUUGGGACAAACUGAAAGUGAUUUUUUUCUUCUUUAUUUGCAGACUUGUAUACUUUGACAUGCCAUGUAGAUCAGCUUUUAAAAACUUAACGUAUUAGAUGGUUUUAUCAUUUUUUGUAAAAAAAAAAAAACAAGGUUCAUUGAGUAGACAACACAAAAAGAGCCCUGUUCCAACUCUAUCCACAUUCAUUAAUGUUGAAUUAUUUAUCAAUACUCCCAGGUUAGGUGCAAAUCGCCAAAACAUUGCACUGAUGAAGGGGUGAAGCUAGUUGUGACUGACUACGGUGAAGGAGACAACACAGACUUCAUCCUCAGUCAACGUGCCUACUCAAAACUGGCUCUUCCAAACAUGGCUGCAGAGCUUUUCGCGUACGGUGUAGUUGACAUAGAGUACCGGAGAAUUUCUUGCGAAUAUUCAGGUUACAAUCUCAUGUUUAAAGUCCAUGAGCAUAGCAGGUUUCCAGAGUACUUAGCCAUACUACCAAUAUACCAGGCUGGUGUAAAUGACAUCACAGCCAUCGAAUUGUGGCAGGUAAUUCUUUCAACUGGGAUCUUCUAACACUAAACCCUUCUUUUAUUAUCUAAAACAUGGUUUUAACUAAUUUGAUAUAUCUUGUGACUUAUUUUCAUGCAUGCAGGAGGAUUGCCAGGAAUGGAGGGCCAUGCGUCAAGCUUAUGGCGCAGUAUGGGAUAUGCCUAACCCACCAAAGGGAGCUCUAAACUUGAGAUUCCAAGUGAGUGGGAGCUAUGGGGCAAAGUGGGUGCAGCUGAAAAGUGUGAUCCCCAGUGAUUGGAAGGCUGGAGUUGAGCAGAAGAAAGUCAGAAUUUUCUAUCAUCUGCUUGAGAAAGGUGAGGUCAGUACCGUGGUUGCGGAAGAUAAUUAAGUAAUUAUUAAAUACCCAUGCGGAAGAUAAUCUGUGUGAUGUGAAUUUGAGAUGUAUAUAUGGAUAGUUUGGUAUAUAUUUUGUGGAUGUAGUAAUUUGAAAUUAUAAACGAAUGGUAUUAUUGGGAUGUAUUUUGAAUGGUUGAUACAUUUUGGCUAUAUAUCAUGGCAUUAGCAUAUUGCAGGUGCAUUGGUAAUAUAGGUGAACUAAAUCCUUUUUUUUCUUUUUCUUUUUAAUCUACAACAUUUAAAAAACGUUGUCUGAUAUACUAAACAAUAACAUUUUUAUCCAAAAAAUGUUAUGGAAUCAUACCUUCUACAACGUUUUUAAGCAUCUGCUAAUUUUUGAAAAACAAAUCUACAACGUUUUUUCCUAAAAAACGUUGUGUAUUGUGCUUAACUACAACGUUUUAAAAACAUUGUGUAAGGGUGUCAAAUAGACAACACCCUUAACCACGACGUUUUUCUGACAGAAACCACAACGUUUUUUUCGCGUUGUCUAUUUACUGUUUUGUAGUAGUGUAACUAGCGACUAGAAUCAAUACCGGUCGUAGAUGGCAGUCGUUAUUACUAAUAUUAGCGACCGGAAAGGGCGGUCGCUGAAAGGUUUAGUCGUAGAUAGAGAUUUUUUCUAUAGUGUGCCCCACCCCCCGCCUCAAGAUUUGAUACUUUCGCCAACAAAAAAACUCAAAACACCAACUCCAUUUGUAAUUCCAUCAAUUACUUGUAUAUCAACAAAAGAAGUCAAUUCGGCCGAUUCUCAUAUCCCCAAGUAAAGAAUGUUGCGUAAAAAACAUCUAUGUAAUCACGAUUACACAACCAACCAUAUAUACCAUUUAUUAUUUUGUCAAAAAAAAAAAAUUCUCUUAUGACCUAUUUUAACAAACGAGUUAAUUAAGUCCAAAUUUUACAAAGAUGAAUAAAUGAAUUUAUAUAAAAAGGAGGCUAUAAAAAUUUCAAAAAAAGCUAUACUAAUAGAAAAAGAUGACAUAUUUUGCAAAUUCAUACCAAUCUAUUAAAUUAUUCAAAUUUUUAUGUAAAAGGCUUAUAGACGGAGUUAACCAUUUUGACAAUGUGUCUAAAUUCGUUCCUUCUUUGAUAGAAAUCAUGAAUUCCUAGGAAUCUAAUGAACAAAGUGAAUAGAAUCAACACAAGUAUAAGAAUUAACAUAGUAUUAUCUGAUUGAGAAAAAUAUGAAAAAAUAUUCACAUAUAUUGCCAAAAUAGGUAAAAGUAAUAAAUGAUUGUGUGAUGUUUCUUACAUUUUGAUCAAUUUGAUGUCUUCUUUGAAAAAAAGUAGUAGUAAUUUUAUAAUUAUUUAUUGUUAAUAAAGUAAAAAAAAAAUUAAUCCUUUUUGAACCUUCUUUACCCCAUAGAGAUAUUGAGUAAAAGGACGUAUUUUUGUAAUUUUAAAAAUGAACGUUUAAAUGUCAUUCAAAAGUAAGUAAAUAGAUUCGAAACAUAUAAAAUGCAGUUCAUACCGCCAUAGACCAAGCUAUUAUUGUAAAAAUUGGUGAAUAAAACCAAGUAUUAUUAAUAAUUUCAUCCUUAGACCAAAAACAAACGAGAUGGAAUACCACUACAAAGAGAAAGUGUACCUAAUAAAAAAUACGUUUUGAUAAUUGACACAUACUUUGUUAAACCCCCCAUAAAAAUUAUUCCAUCCGUCCUAAAUUAAUUGCUCAGUUUUGACUUUUUAAAGUUAAAUUGACCAUUUUUAAAACUAAUCUUUUUAUUAUUUUUUCUAAAAUAUAGAUGAAAAAAUUAUAAUCAAAAGAAAGUAUAUACAAUUUAUUACUAACCCCAAUUUUUAUAAUUUUAGAAAUAUAUUUAUAUAUACUUAAUUAUUAAUUCUAAAAAUAGUCAAUUUGAUUUAAAAAAGUCAAAACUGAGCAAUUAAUUUGGGACGGAGGGAGUAUAUUCUAACUUUUAUUUAGAAAAUAUCCAACAAUAAUUUUUAUUAAAUAAAUAACAGAUCCGGAUCAUAAGUAAUCAAAUAAAAUAAAAUAUUUUGAUAAAACCCUAUACCUAAAGCUAAUAUCAUAUAACCUAAUUAAGACAUUGCGGAUUAUGCCAAUAUUAGCAUUAGAUAACAACGUCCAGUUCGUCAUAGCAUAAAUCUCUUCAGAGUUUAGUGCCCAUCUUUUACCCUACUUCGGCCUGCAAUUCUAAACAUUAUUCACACUUCUCUAUUAUUUUAUUUUAUUUAUUUUUUUUAAAAAAAAAGAGCUCUAUAAUUGGCUGAAUUUAUAAUAAUUUUCAACUUGUUUCAUCGUCACAACUCACAACCUACUUCACUUAUUUUUUUUAUAACUGUUUUACCCCUAUAACUUUAGAUUUAUUAUUAUUUUAUCUUUUUUAUAUCUUCCUAUUUACUUUUCAAAAUUUUAUAAAAUUUCUAUUUUAAUUAAUAAUGGUCUCUUCAGAAAAUUAUAAUUAAAAAUAUAGAAUUUGAGCGAGUGAUCAUAUCAUGUAUGCUGUCAGUUCAGAACUCGUGCUAAUCAAUAGUUUAUGUUGUUUUUUUUCGGAACUCGCGCUGAUCAAUAGUUUAUGUUGUUUUUGAGAUCUGGUCAGUAUGAAGUUCAUUUUUGGGUAAGUUGAUCAAUUGGCCAAUAGAAUGCUGGCACACAAAAAGCAUCGACGCGUAUCAGCAUUCUAUUGACUAAUUGACCAACUUACUCAAAAAUGAACUUCAUGCUAACCAGAUCUCAAAAAAACAACAUAAACAAUUGAUUAGCGCAAGUUCCGAAAAAAACAACAUAAACUAUUGAUUAGCACGAGUUCUGAACUGACGGAUCUGAUUAACAUGAAAUUUAUUUUUGAAUAAGUUGGUCAAUUGAUCAAUAGAAUGCUGACACACAAAGAGCUUCAUGUGCGUGUCAGCACUCUAUUGGCUAAUUGACCAACUUACUCAAAAAUAAACUUCAUGCUAACCACUUCCGUUUUUUUCACUUACUAAAAUGUUUAUUUUGACAAAUUUAAGGAUACUUCCAGUAAACAAAGAAUUUAAGCUUAGAUUCAUUUUCAAAAGGCAUUAGAUAAUGUCAUAGUAAUAUUUAUAUUAUAAUAAUAAAUAUAUAUUUAGCAAUAUUUUUUAUAUUUAUUUUUAUUACAUUUUAAAAUUUUAAUAAUAUUUAAUAUUUUAACAGCAUAAUUAUUGUUUUGAUAUAUUAUCAAUGAUUUGUUAGGGUGCAUUAUAUAAAUGAGUUUGUUUUGAGAGGAAAAUAAUUGGUGAGUGGUAUGCAAAGAAAUUAUGCUUUUGAGAUGUUCGACUACAUGAGCAGUAGUUAUCAAUUAUUGGAUGAAUAAUUAGUAGUUAUUUGAUGAAUUUUUAGUUAUAUUUAACUAUAUAUAUAUUUAAAAUUUUUAACGAUACUUAUUACUUUAAUAAUAUACUUAUUUCUUUGACAUUAUUAAUGAGCCGUUAAGUAGCGAAAACUAAUGAGUUUGUUUUGAGAGGAAAAAUAUAAUUGGUGAGUGGUAUGCAAUGAAAUUUUGAUUUUAAGUUUGUUUUCAUAUUUUGACUUAAUUUAAUCAAUAAUGUUAUUAUUACAUAAAAUUAUUACAUACAACUCACAUACUGCAUGAGUGACACUCAUAAAUUUGUUGUUAAGUGAGUCAUGUCAACAACAAAUUCAUAAAUGUCAUCCCAUAUAAUAUGUGAUACUUUUAUGUGAUAGUUAGCAUUAUUUUUAAUUUAUGAUCAAUCAAUUAAUUAUUUGAUGAACGAUCAGUAGUUAUGGUUAUUAUUUGAUGAAUGGAUGACGUUGUUAAUUCUUGUUAUUACUUCUCCAGUUGUACAAAAUGAAUUUUAUUUUUAAAAUUAAUAGAUAAUGUGUUUACUCUUAAAAAUAUAAAUUAUUAGUCAUGGAGCGGUGCCAGUAUAAUAAUGAAAUUAUUAUGAUGAUAAAUUUGAUAAUAUUAUAUUAUUUUAUAUUAUAACAAUAAUAAAAAAUUAAAAUUAAAUGAGAUUUUAUUGUAAAAUAAAAAAAAAUAAUUUAUUAUCCAUGUCUUAAAGAAUUUGCAUAUUAACAAUUUUUUUUGCUAAAUUUCAUAUUAACAUUUCUAUACAAGUAAAGCUUUAAUUACGGGUGCACAACAGUCAAUUUAAUUGGUUGGUUUUAUAUCUAAAAAAAUAAUCAAACUAUUUAGGGCGGUUAUAAAAAAAAUAAAAAAUGUCUAAACUUUUACGCUGUAGUCGGUUAUCAACCUACUCAAUUAUCGGUUAAAUCGAUCGGUUUAGACGGUGUUAACGUUUGAUUUUGUACGUCUGAUGAAAUCACUAAAAUAACAGAUCAAAAUAACACUAGCGAUUGAUGGAAUAGUUGAUUGUAUUAUUGUGCAUUCAAACUCACGAAAAUAUACACAGAUAAAUAUACACACAUCAGUGUAAGAGAUAAAAUAAAGAAAUCCACGGAGAGAAAUAAGAAAUCCACUAUAAUAAUAUGAAGAGUACAAAUUGUUUAUUUGUGUCAUAUGCUAUUGUGUCUAUCCUCCGACCUUUACUUGUUGUAUUUAUAGAAGUCAUGUUCACCCGAAUCCAACUAAGAGUAGUAGUCUUUUUCAGAAUCAACUUAUAACUGCAAUUAAUGAUUGAUUGCUUUCUUCCCAAGUUAGAUCAUAUUAUCUCACCAAAUAAAGAAACAUAAUUUUACUUUAAUAAGAACUCUCCUACUAUUUGAGCAAAUAGAUAAUAAACGCAUAUGAGUCAACAUCAAAUUCGGUCCAUUAAAUAAGUUGGGCUACACAUUGGCUAGACCCAAAUAAUUACAUCCCAAUAUUGCCCCAAAAUAAGAGAGUGUACAAAUUUAUCCCAACCAAAGAUUCGUAUCUGCCGAAGACGAACUGUCUCACCCAAACACUAUACGCCGAAGAUAAUCGAACCUCAACACUACCGAAAAUAGAUAAAUAAUCGCCCUUAUCACUACUGAAGAUAGAUAAAUAACCGAUCUUAUCACAACCGCAGAUGUAGAUAACAAACCUUGUCACAACCGAAGAUGUAGAUUACUAACCUUAUCACAUCCGAAAAUAUAGAUAAUCAAGCUUAUCACUGAAGAUGUAGAUAACCAACCUUAUCACAACCGAAGAUGUAGAUAAUCGAACCUUAUCACAAUCGAAGAUGUAGAUAAUCAAUCUUAUCACAACUGAAGAUAUAGAUAACCAACCUUAUCACAACCGAAAUAUGUUAUCCGUUCAGGAGAACGCUGGUCCGUCGCGAAGGAUGUUAUCCGUUCGGUAGGACGUUGGUCCGUCCCGAAAGAUGCACUACAAAAAAAUGGUGAUUUUGCAACAAACAGUUUUCGUUGCUAAAUGUGCAAAAUUUCGUUGUCAAAUGCCAUUUGCAACGAUUUUUCGGUCGUUGGACAUUUCGUUACGCAAUGAGCGUUGCUAAUGGUCUAGCAGAGAAUUAUUUUUUUUUGUUGCAGAAAGUAAUAUAUUUCGCAACAAAAUUUUUUUUCAUGUAAAAUCAUAAAUCAUUUAGCAACGAAAUAUUUUGUAGCAAAUUUAUUAAGAAAUUGUUACUGAAAAACAAUUUUCGUUGCAAAAUACGCCUAAUAAACAACGAAAAGAAUCUUUUUAUUUUCCAACGAAGAUAAAAUUCGUUGCAUUUGAUACACAUUUGCCAACGAAGUUUGCCGUUACUAAACAAUAUAGAAAUUGUUGCCUUAAUUUGUUUUCGUUGCUAAUUGUGUACUUUUUGGUAACGAUGCUUAUUGCUAAAUGUAAAAAAAUAAACCAACUAAUAUUAAUUUGCAACGAAAUUUUGCGUUGCCGUUGGUUUUUUUAUGGAUAAUUAUGAUGAAUUAGCAACGAUACUAUUCAAAGGUGAUUGUUUUUAGAGAGUAACAAAAGUUAUUGUCAAAUUAGCAACGACACUAUACGUUAUCGUUUACUUUUCAUGUGCAACGAAAUUUGUUAUGAUUUGCAACGAUAUAAAUACUGUCUUUUAUUUUGUAUGUAACGAAUGUCAAAAUUAAUUUAUAAACAAAAAAAAUUAUGUCUCAAUAACCCCAUAACAAAUUAUAACAGAAAUACAAAAAAAAACUAAAAUAUUAUUAAUUAAAUAAAAUCAUUUGAUAUAUAAUCAGUUAUCAUCUUUACAAUCAAACUUCGUACGACUGAAAACUACAAAGCCCGUAUUAGUUAACACUAUAUGCCAUCAAGAGGUUAACACCAGUGCCAUAUAUGAAAAAAAAAAUCAAGAAAGAAAUGUUUAAAAUAGGAAACAAUACUUAAGCUUACAUAAGAGUUUCAACCAUGGUUCAUUCUCUAGGUAUUCUGUCAAUAUUAUUGUGACGCCCCCAAAAUAGGUAUACAUCACCCAUCUUGAGUCGCCAAAUACAUGGUACAAAAUACAAUUAAAAACUUAAUUAUACAACUGUCGUAUAAAAUACGACAAUACAUAUGUUGUGAGUUUUAAUACAAAUAUUGUCAUCUAGACAAUAUCCACACUCAAUGGAGUCCUCAUUACAUUUAUUAUCACACUAUUUAACAGAAUAGUGAGGACUACUAAUGCUAUCAUCUGGACCGUCACUCCGUUCCCCGACUAGUCCCAGCUAUAUUUUCAUUUCUGAAGAGAACAAUGAAAGCAAAGGGUGAGCUCAACUAGCCCAGUAGAAAAUAUUAUGACUAAGAUAAUGUAGAAUAAAUUAUCAUUAACCCUCAACAAUGUUAAACUGAUAGAAUGUAAUAGAUAACAAGUUUAACUGCAGCGGAACAAGCAAUCCAUUAGAAGAGUCAAGUAGAGCAUAAAAUCUACUAUCUUCUAUGAUUUAAAAAGAUUUUCAUCAACUUUAUCGCUGAGACUCAGCUUAAUAAAUAAACCACUUCAUCCAUGCACCACGACCAAUGAUAUUCAUGUAAUCAUCAAUGGUCAUGAUUAUACCGAAUAAUCCCUGGUCAUAAUCAUACCAACAACUGUCCAUCAAUGAACUACAGGCCAAUGAGGACUUUUACCACAUCAUUCGUCACAUUUCAGUCAUGAUUAUACCGAAUAAUCCUUGGUCAUAAUCAUACCAAGUUCAUCUAUGCACGUAAGCCAAAGAUGACUUUAAUUACAAUAUAAGCAUGGGAAUGAUGACAAUGACAUAAUAAUUCAAUAAAAUAAGUUCAAGGAUAAAUUUUAAAGAUUUAUAAUUUAAUUUAUCCAAAAAUCAAUAACGUCCAAAUUGUCAACAUGAUACUUCUUUGUGGAGUAAAAUUCAAGAAUGCUCAGAAGAAUAUUUUCAUAAAAAGAUACUGGAUGAAGCGCAAAUAUCAAAGAUAUUCUACUAAUUUCAUGGAGUAUAGAAGCCAAAACUUUAACCAAAUGAGUAUCAUAGAAUAUAUGAAACUGCAAAUGAAUUUUCACCCGCCAUGCGAUAAUCCACGUAGAUAGAUCAUUUCCACAAUUUAAUAAGGAAUGAAUACAAAUGAUCAUUCACCAUGCAUGUGAUAAUCCACAUAGACAGGUUAUUCCAAUAGAAUAAUAAAGAAUGGAACCAGGUCAUGCGUAAUCCGCACAGACAGGAUAUUCCAACAGAAUAAUAAAGAAUAGAAUAACAGAAAAAUUCACCAUACAUGUGAUAGACCGCACAGACAGGUUAUUCCAACAGAAUAAUAAAGAAUGGAACCAAGUCUAGCGUAAUCCGCACAGACAGGAUAUUCCAACAGAAUAAUAAAGAAUGGAAUAACAGAAGAAUUUCACCAUAUAUGCGGUACUUCGCAUAGACAGGUUAUUCCAAUAUAAUAAUAAAGAAUGGAAUAACAAAAGCUCUCUUCAUGAAUGCGAAAGAAAUAAUACCCCUUACCUUAAAAAAAAUUGGAUACUAUAGUAGAGAGGUAGUAGACUUCUCUUCUUCUUUCUCUCUAUAAUUUCACUCUAUAAUAAUUGCUCUAUAGCUUUAGUGAAUUGGUGAGAAAUGAAGGAAAAAUGAGCUUCUAUUUAUAGGAAAAUAUAAUUUCAAUAAUUGCACGUUUUGGGGCUCAAAAUAUUACAGUAUAAUACCUUCCUCUUUUUCUUCAUUUUUAAUUUAGUCCUGCAAGUAUUAUCAAACUUGCACCACCUCCUCUAAUAGUAAAUAAUGUGAAUUAAUAGUAAAUCAUGUAAAUCAAUAGUUAUAAUCAUGUGAAAAUAUGAAUUACAGUAUAUUACCUCCAUCUAUACCUCCAUUUUUAACUUAGUCAUGCAAGUAUUAUCAAUCUUGCACCAACUCCCCUAAUAGUAAAUGAAUGUGAAUCAAUAGUACACACAUGUGAACAAAUAGUUAUAAUCAUGUGAAUCAAUAGCAAUUAAUUGCUCAUUUAUCCGGUUAAUUACCCGAUUGGUCAAUAUAACCUCCAGACAUCAAUUAUUAUCGAAAUAAAUGUCGAUUUUCACUAACACUAAUAAUUCCAACACAAUGGAACUAUCAAAUUCAUCUUUAAUCAACACAAACUUUUUUAUCAUUAAUAUUAUAACUCACAAUAUUUAACAACCAGGUCGUUCCCAGGAAAGAGAGGGCUUUCCGAUAAGAAUUUCUCCUUAUUGGCGCGCAAUUAGAUGACCAAACCUCUCCUUAACAGAACUUAUAGACAUUGUAAAUAUUGCAAUUUAAUAAUAUGAAUAACUUUGUUAUCUCAAUUAUUGAUUUAAUAACAUAUCAUAUUAUGCAGAUGAUACUGACAAUAAUUGAAUCAAUAAUAUGAGAGAUAUAAUGCAGCAAUUAUUGUAGCAAUAAUUGAGUAUAACUGAGUGACUUCUCACGUAAGCAUCAAUAGUCAAUACCGUGUGCUACUAUGCAACUACGCGUAUUACUGUACUUUUACUACCGGGUAGUUCAACAGUUUUAACGGUAACACUUUCGCCGUUAUUUUUAUAAAAAGAUAAUUCUGUCGUUUUACGACAAUACUUCCGUUGUGGGGUCCACCAAUGAUUGUGCCGUCGAACGAAUAUUCCCUGUUAAAAUGAAUAUUUCCCGACCAAUCGAAUAUUAUAUAACCACUUGCUUACUUUGCAAAAUUUGUAAAUAUUACCCACAACUAUAUCAUUAUAUCAAAUUCACACCAUAAUAUUCAAAAAUAUAUUUCGAGAAAAUUAUUCUUUAUUCAUAAAAGUUGGGGUCUUACAAUUAUAACAGCAUCAGCCACUACACCAAUAAAGAGGUUCAUCGGCAACAAAAAAUCUCAUCGGCAACAAAAAAGAAAAUAGGCGGUGUUUUUUUUUCCCACCAACGAUUUGGCAACGACUUAUGAAUUUCGUUACAAAAAAUAAAUGUCUUUCAUAAACUGCAACGAACGACAAAUUUCGUUGCUAAACACGCAUUUUUGGCAACGACUUUAUAAAUCGUUGCCCGAAAAAUUAUUGCCAAAUGUCUAUUUUUUGUAGUGAUGUUAUCCGUUUGGGAGGACGUUGGUCCGUUGGAGCUCAUACCAGGCUUGUAUAUCUUUCCCCCAGGUGGUAAAAAUAUAAUUGAUUCCUGAAAUUUUUCUUCUUCUUUUAUUUAUUCGACAAAACUAAGGAGAUAAUAAAAUAAGACCUGAUCUGUUAGUGCUGAAAAUUGUUGACAAUGAUCAAAGCGGAUUUAUGUUCCAGAAGCGGGUUAAUGUGCCGAAGCGUAUUGACGAGCCAAAGAUAACUGACGCUAAAUCUGAAUCUGUUAAGUUCUCUAACAUCUGGAAUUCUAAAAAAUUCCAUUCUGUAUUUUUUCUCUCCGCCUAUUUAAUUCGAUCAUGAGGACCUGGGCAAAAAAGUGAGUCUUUAGAGAACAAAAAUGUCACCACGUUAAACCACAUGUAAUCACAUAUUACGAAAUAUGAUGUAUUACUUUGAAUAAAGAAAAUUAAUAAUGUAAAUAAUACAUAACGUAACAGUAUGAUUUAUCAAUUACAAGCAUAACAUCAUAUUACAAAAUUUAUAUUGCAAGUGAAGCAAUAUUAUUAAUAAUGAUGAUUUCAUAAAUUAAUAAAAGAGAACCACUUAUGUUUUAGGCGUAAGAUCUACCUCAUUAUCUUAGUAAGCCGACACAAAGUUAGAUUAAUUGUGUUGGUAAUCUUUCGAACAGAAUUUUGGAUUCCCACAGACGGCGCCAAUGUUAAUGCCUGAUUUUGUCCGCCUGACGAAAUCACCAAAAUAGUAGGCUAAAACAGCGCUAACGAUUGAUGGAAUAUUUGAUUAUAUUGUUGUGCAAUCAAACUCACGAAAAUAUACAUAGAUAAACAUACACACAUCAUUGUAAGAGAUAAAAUAUGAACACAAGAAUUUACGUAAAAAUUCAAUUGGGAAAAAACCACGGAGAAAGAGAAGAAAUCCACUAUAAUAAUAUGGAGAGUACAAAUUGUUUAUUUGUGUCAUAUACUAUUGUGUCUAUCCUCCAACCCUCGCUUGUUGCUGUAUUUAUAAAAGUCAUGUCAACCCGAAUCCAACUAGGAGUAGAAGACUUUUUCAAAAUCAUCUUAUAACUGCAAUUAAUGAUUGAUUGUUUCCUUCUCAAGUUAGAUCUUCUUAUUCCACCAAAUAAAGAAAUACAAUCUUACCUUAAUAAGAACUUUCCCACUAUUUGAGUAAAUAGAUAAUAAAAAUAUGGGCCAACACCAAAUCCAAUCCAUUAAAUAAGUUAGGCUACAUCUUGACUAGACCUAAAUAAUUAUAUCCCAACAUACUAUUAGAACCAAUAACAAAUGAAUAAUCAAAUAUAAAAUUAAAUCAUCAAAUAACCAAACAAAAUUUACUAUACUAUACUACUAGUCAUUAAAAAUAGGGUCCUUUACAUAAAUAUACAAUAAAUAGAAAGUAAUUACAAGAAAAGUGCAUCAACUAAAUAAUUACAAAAAGAAUGUAUUUAUUACAAAAAAAAGUGCAAUUCACAUUAAUAAGGAAACCUAAAAUCAAGGACAAAUAACUGCCAUAAUUAAUAAUUUAAAUUCAAAUAUUUGGAUCUAACAACAAAAACAAAUUCAAAUUCAAAAUAAUAAUUCAAAUUUAAAUAUUCAAAUUCAAAUCUUCAUCUCCCUCACAUACACUUUGAAAUAAUAGUUCGCCGCUAUACCGCCGUGAAUCUCCGUUGUCCAAAACGCCAAUGAGAAUAAGAAGAAGAUUCGCCCUACAAAAAGUUUAAAAAUAAAUAAAUGUAACUAUUAAUGUUCUGAAAAUUUUUUUAUAACUAUUUUGUUACUCAUAAAUAAUAAAAUGGUUACCUUUGUAUGAAGGUUUGGCUACCAACUGUAUUACAUGCAAAAUAAUUUGGAAACUUAAUAAAACAGAAUUGGUUACCUUGGUAUGAAGGUUUGGCUACCAACUGCAUUAUGAAAAAACUGCAGAAACAGAUCGAUGGUAACGUCAGAAAUAGAGCGAUGGUAACGUUCUUGACACUGAAACAGAAUUGGUAACGUUCUUUCUAUAUCUUCAUCCAUCAUAGCAGAUAACAGCCCUAACCUCUCUGGAAAAGAGGAAAAGAAAAAAAAGCAAUUAAUAUAGCAUCUUACUCAUGACAGGAGAUUUUAAUUUUUACAAGAUCCUCCAUAGUCGAUGACAAUAGAGCACCCCACGAACAACCAAUUGAAGUCACCCCCAAUUGUUGCAAUAGUUUCUUCUUCUCUCUUCUAUAAAGUCUGUGAUUGAUUUUUUUUUUUUUGCCAUAGUUGCCACUUCUGGUCGUCGCCUGAGUCGUAGAAGCAAUUGAAUGAAAAUGAAGAUACAUCAUACUGGCAGUCAAAACGAACAGAUUUGUUUCUGCAUUGCACACUAGCAGAUUGAGGAGAGAGAGAAGAAUCUAUAACUAAUCCCUAAAUUAAGGAAUUCUAAUUGAAUUAUAAUUCCCUAAAUUAAGUAAUUCUAAUUACACUAAAAUAUGUAAAUAAAUAUGAAAGUGUAUUAGUUAUGUAAAUAUUAUAUGAGUGCACUAUUGAUGUAAUUAUUUUUAAAAAUGUAUUAAAAUAUGUAAUUGUUGCUUAAAAAUAAGACUUUUAAACUUCUUCCAAGACAACUUAAGCCCACAAUAUUAAUAAAGAACUCAAAAGGAGAUUAAAUACACAUGAAAAACAAACAUCCAUUAAUCUAAAAAUUUCUAGCAUGGUAAAUUAAUAUUGUAUCAUAUAUUAAAAUUUGAGUUUUAUUGUGUACAAGUAAAAUUAUAUCUUAUGUAUAAUUAUGUUUAUAUAUAUAUAUAUAUAUAUAUAUAUAUAUAUAUAUAUAAUAUAUAAUUUUAUAUAUUCAGUCGGUUCGGUCGAUUUCGGCUUUUUCAUGGGUGCGAGCCGGAAUCGGCGGACUCAACUCUAAUAUUUUUUUUUAGAGCAGUUCUAUACGGACAGGCCCUUGAACCAGAAAAUUGGACAGGUCAAUUUUUUAUUUUUUUAAUUUUUUUUUUGCUACUCUCAAAAAAUGUAUAAUAUUUAUUUUAAUUGAAAUUUUUACAGAAUACAGUAUUUUUAGGUAUAAUUUGGAUACAUACAUAAUACAGUGUUUUUAGGUAUAAUUUGGAUACAUACACAAUACAAUGUUAAACAGUCUGUUCAACAUUGUAUUGUGUAUGUAUCCAAAUUAUACCUAAAAACACUUUAUUCUGUAAAAAUUUUAAUUGAAAUAAAUACUAUAUAUUUUUUUAGAGUAGCAAAAAUAAAAAAAUUUGUCUGUCCAAUUUUUCGGUCCAAAGGACCUGUCCGCCAAAGACUUUUCCUUUUUUUUAUAUUAGCAACUGUCAGCUUGUUGGUUUUAAAUUUUUUGAUUUAAUUUGUUGUCAGUUUGGCUCGAUGCAUGCAGUUUUUAGAUUUUGAUCAGUUACUUGUUGAGUGCUAAUUUAACUAGCUAGUGAUGAGUCAAGUUUAAUAUUGGCAAUAAUAAGAAGGUUUUUAUUUAAUGGUAAAUGUGUUAUGGACAAAUUUUAACACGUCUAAGAGUCCAUUUGGCAGAGUUUUUGUGUGAAAUAGAAUCAUUUUCAAUUUAUAUGUAAAAAUAUUUUAAUUUGAUAACUUUUCAAAAGAACCUUUGAAAUGUAGAGAUUUGGAUUCAAAAAUAUUUUUAGUUAAAGCAUAAAUUUAUACUUUUGGCUCAAGCACUUUUACCAAAAGCCGAACGUAUAAAAUUAUUUUUAAAUUGUUAAAAAGUAAUAAAAUUUUAUCCGCCAAUUUAUCAUUUAUAUUUUUAAAAGCACAUUUACAAUAAUUAUGUAACCAAGUUCUAUUUUAACUAAUUUCUUAUAUAAAUAUUUUUAUCAACAAUUUUAUAUUUAAAAAAUACUUCAUUAAUUUCACUACAAAUUGCAUAAAUUCGUCCGUAAAACAGACACUCAAAAUGUCCAAGGAGAUAAUGAUUAUUUAUGGUCUAUUUUCAUGAUGUAGAGUACGAAAACGGCAAAAGAAAAGUUUAAAAACUAUGAUGCGUACAAGAAAAUUGUCUCGUACAAGAAAACGUCCAAGGAUUUAUUAUAUUAAAGUAAACUUCCACCAUAAUUUCAAACUCUUCUUCUAGUGUGAUACGAAUUAUAUAAACGUUCCGAUAUUAUUUAAAUAUUAUGUUUGAUGGAUAAACAUAGAAUAAAAACAUAUAUUUUGUAUUUAAUAAAUAAUUACAUCUCUUUUAAUGGAACAUAAAAAAUCUAAUAUUAAAAUAUUAUUAAAUAUUUUAAUAUAUUUUGAAAUUUGUGCAACACGUUAAUACUUGUUCCGUCUAACGACAAACGUCUUCUAUUAAAUUUUAUAAUUAAAUAGAUUAUCAUAAACUAUAUAUAAUUUAAUAUUAAUUAAUCUCAACGUUGGUCUAAAUAUAUAUGUAUAGUUAUUAAUUUUAAAAAUGGUCACUAAGACGAGUAUUGUAUUUACUCUUUAAGCAUUGUAUUCGUAUGGUGGAAUACAAUGCUUUCUCCUACAAACUUUAUAUAUAUAUAUAUAUAUAUAUAUAUAUAUAUCACCCUUUCCUUCAUCCACUAAUACUACAAACUUUCUCUCUCUUACAGGCUUACAGUUUUACUCCUCCUACCUCUCUCUCUCUCUCUCUCUCUCUCUCUCUCUCUCUCUCUCUCUCUCUCUCUCUNNNNNNNNNNNNNNNNNNNNNNNNNNNNNNNNNNNNNNNNNNNNNNNNNNNNNNNNNNNNNNNNNNNNNNNNNNNNNNNNNNNNNNNNNNNNNNNNNNNNAUUGUUGUGGUGAUAUUGGGAUGGAGAAUUUUCAAUUGGGUUUGGUUGAGACCAAGAAAGCUUGAAAAGUACCUGAGAAAUCAGGGUUUCACUGGAAACUCUUACAGAUUAUUUUUUGGAGACCUGAAAGAUAUGGUUAUGAUGAUAAAAGAAGCCAAAUCAAAACCCAUCAACCUCUCUGAUGAUAUCAUUCCCCGCAUCAUUCCCCUCAACUAUAAAA